rnacentral:lncRNA from 1 species
AUUUGAGUGUCAGCAUGGAUAGGUAGUGUGAGGUGGAGAUAACUGAGCUUCUAAAGUCAAAUUUUGCUGUCAAAUGUAGCCUGAUUUAUCUUAUUUGAAUAGCUCCAUUCAUUUUGCUUUGGGAAACUUUCCAUUUGAUUUUCUCAUCAGGGUUUGCUGUGGUAUGCAAGCUUAAAAGGUCUAAAAAUGAAGACUAAAAGAGAGGGAUUUGGAGAUCUUGAGACAGAGUUUUCCCAAAACUGUUUACAUGCCUGCACAAUUAUCAUCCCAGAUGUCAGAAAUGAGAAAGCACCUCUUGCCACAGGAGAUGGAAAAGGGGAAAAGGACCCAAAGAGAAGAGUUGAGGGAAUCGGCGAUACAAUCACCUGGGAACACUGGACCAAAUCUCCCUGGACUGUUGAGAUUUAUUAGAGCAGCUCCCUAUGGAGCCAGCAAAUCUCAGAUCUCUGGCGGAUGGACCAUGUGCCGGCUGAGAAAUGUCACCAUCACACGUUCACACAUUCACAGAAGCUUUGUCUGAUUAUCAUUUAAGUCUUUUGGGAUGAGCAGUUCUGUCCAACGCUAGUAUGUCAGAUUGCCCUCAUGAACUAUGAUACUGAGAGCCUUUAAAAAGCAGCCUUUAGGAGUCCUGAAACGCUCCCUUCUCUUAAAACCUGCCUCAAUUACUUGUUUUGUUUCCUUUUGUCCAACUACUUAUGUUGAAAUCCACAGUAACUUUUGUGGAAAUUACAGUGUCUUCUAAGUCAAUUGGAACAAUUGGUUUUUCUAUGCUUCCCCACUGCUCAAAAAUCAGAGAGAGCUCAGUUCCCAGUGUUUUUAUUUUCUUUUGGAAACUUAUGUAAUUGAAUUAAGAAAGGAUCCAGAGGCAGUAGAUGGUAGAAGCGACUUUAUGCAGAGAGAAAAUGAGAGGUUGAGGUGAGGAGGAAAAGUCUAUGAGAGUGAAAAUGGAACUGUCUGGAACUAUAUCACAUGAUGUGCCCCUUUCACUGAGCGAUCUUUGGCACAUUAUUUAAGUAAAAAUAAAAUGGCAUUUAAGUAUUGUUGUCCACUAUGUUAGGUUUUCCUAACCCUGACAUAUUUCCAUUAUGAGUUUUUCAAAGUGUGAGAAACUCUCCAGAAUACACUUCAGGAUGUCCUUUUUCUUCAAAAAUACAGUGUGGAAAACAUGGGUUUAAGGUAAUGAGAAUUUCUGUUGGAAUACAAAUAUAUAAUCUAUGAGGAAUAAUUUAUUAAACCAUUGUUACCCUAGAAAACAGUAGUGUAUCAGAUUGCAUUACUUAGCUAACAGAAUUUUUGGAGAAUAGGAUGAAGAAAAAGUCAACUUUGAAGAAUGUUCGGUGUUCAGUUUAUAGCAGGUUGACUUUAUGGAUUGCUCUUUUGGAAAGGCAAAAGAGAAUAAGGAUGAUCCUUGGGAAGAGAAGGAAGAAGGAAAGGAGAAUAUACUAAAGAUACUAUUUGCUCAAAAAUUUGCUGAGAACCUUCUCUUGUCAUUUUAGGUGAAUGCACAAAUGGAAGUCUUAAAUAAUUCAGCAUAUGAAAAAUCCAAAAAUAGACAACUAAAAGUACAAAUUUCAUUUUGCUAAACUGGUUGUGCAUUUAUUCUAAAUUAAAAAUAGACAGACAGGGCCUCCCCUGACUCUCGACCCAGUGAACUGUGUGUAAAUAAUCUGCGGAAACACGAGGGUCUGCUUUCCUAUUCAAAACUAAGGAGACUAUUGGAGACGAUCCUACUUGUGAAUAGAGCAAAUCAUUUAGCUCCUAAGCAUCCAUCUAAAGCAACAGUAGCUUUCAGUUGUUAUUGAAUAUUUAUGCUAAUGAGAUAAAGCAAAUAUGAUAAUGUCUGUAAUUGUAUGCUGGUCUAAUCUAAAAGAUUACAUGCUUUUGCCAUUUCACUAUUUGUCUACAGUCUACAAAAUUCUUUAUAGUGAAUCUGGAAGGAAAAGGAGAGGGGAGAGUUGAUAAAAAGAGAUCCAUUUUCACAUGUUGUCAUCAGGUUUGGUGGCAAAGAAUGUUAAAAAUCUCAGCAAAAGUGUAAUUUGGGAUAAACAGCAGAUUCAGUUUAAUCAUAUUUUCUCUUGCCCCAAUAAGAAAGAUAAUGAAGGGCUGGCUGUUGACAUUAGUCAACAGACAACAGUUAUUAUUCCUGUGCAGUGAAGUGUUUCAUGAGGAAAUGCUGAACAGGUAGACGAGAAAAAUGAAAUGUCCUUUGAUGAAAAGACUAACACAAUACAAUCAACAAUAGAAAUUGAUAAGUUGAAGAACAAUCUUCCUACCAAAAUCGAUAAAAAAGAACUGUGUAAUAUUUUAUUUUUCAAAUAACUUGUCUAGAUCAUCUGGUCAGGUUUGAAAUUAUGAAAACACUGUACCUAGAAAGUGAUUUUUUUGAGUUAUGAAUGGUAGCUAUACCAUGGUUGAGACGGUAUUGAUCACGGGAAUUUUGCAGCAGGCAACAAAGGCUAGAACACUAUUAGUCCUGUGAAUUGUAGAACCUGUUGCAAGCAUUCACUCUUUAAACAAAUUCAUUGAAAAAAUUUCAAUGCAAUCCAUACAAAACUUGUAAGAUGUGUCAAAUUGAACAGUUUCAUCAACAGCUUGGUUUUAGAUGUCUGGCUUAACUAUAAAUUGAAAGAGAAUCUUGUUAAUUGUACUGUAUCUCACCAGACAAAAGCAAAAUAUGUCAUAAUGUAAUUGGGGCCUCAUUUCUUUCAUUCAGGAACUUUGGACUUCCAUGUUUUUAAUGUUGAAAUGGAAAUGACUUUCAUUAGUUAAUUCUGUGUGCCUUAUAGUACCGUCAUCCAACCCUCACUUAGAAACUGAGACACUUCCAAAUUUAACAGCAAUAUUUAGGCAAAUGGUGGGGCAACAUUUUUUGGGACUCAACUAUUUAAAGAUACUUCCUCACAAUCCUUCAGUGUCUCCUCAUAGUAAACAUGCAGCUAAUUUCCCGUUCUCUCCUAAGUGUAAAGUAUUAGUCACUCACGUAGCUGUUCCCUUUGAGCUAGAGGACCCGUCUCCUUUAGAUGAGUCAUUUCAUGAGGCUCUGAAGCAAGGUGGUGGUGAAAGAAACUAUUCUAAAAGAGAUUUUGUCAGCAUGGUUUGCACAGCUAAUUGAUGAUGGCAAAUCUUAGUGCCUUAAG